AGAUUGAACGCUGGCGGAAUGCUUUACACAUGCAAGUCGAACGGCAGCACGGGGGGUAACCCUGGUGGCGAGUGGCGAACGGGUGAGUAAUACAUCGGAACGUGCCCAGUCGUGGGGGAUAACGUAGCGAAAGCUACGCUAAUACCGCAUACGAACUCUGGUUGAAAGCGGGGGACUCGCAAGAGCCUCGCGCGAUUGGAGCGGCCGAUGGCAGAUUAGGUAGUUGGUGGGGUAAAGGCUCACCAAGCCUGCGAUCUGUAGCUGGUCUGAGAGGACGACCAGCCACACUGGGACUGAGACACGGCCCAGACUCCUACGGGAGCAGCAGUGGGGAAUUUUGGACAAGUGGGCGCAAGCCUGAUCCAGCCAUUCCGCGUGCAGGAUGAAGG
rnacentral:rRNA from 1 species